GACGAACGCUGGCGGCGUGCCUGACACAUGCAAGUCGGACGGUUCUUGUAUCUUCAAGCUUGCUUGCAGGUGCAAGGAUAGUGGCGGACGGGUGAGUAACGCGUGAACAUCUACCCAUUGGAGGGGGACAACCCGUCGAAAGGCGGGCUAAUACCGCGUAAGCCGCGAGGUGAGAGGCUGCCUAUUGGUGGCCGCCGAUGGAUGGGUUCGCGUCCUAUCAGCUGGUUGGUGGGGUAACGGCCUACCAAGGCGAAGACGGGUAGCCGGUCUGAGAGGAUGGCCGGCCACACUGGAACUGAGACACGGUCCAGACUCCUACGGGAGGCAGCAGUGGGGAAUAUUGGGCAAUGGGGGAGACCCUGACCCAGCGACGCCGCGUGAGGGAUGAAGGUUUUCGGAUCGUAAACCUCUGUUGUACGGGAAGAAGGAUGUGACGGUACCGUACGAGAAAGCCCCGGACAAACUACGUAG
rnacentral:rRNA from 1 species